rnacentral:rRNA from 1 species
AGAGUUUGAUCAUGGCUCAGGAUGAACGCUAGCUACAGGCUUAACACAUGCAAGUCGAGGGGAAACGACAUCGAAAGCUUGCUUUUGAUGGGCGUCGACCGGCGCACGGGUGAGUAACGCGUAUCCAACCUGCCCACCACUUGGGGAUAACCUUGCGAAAGUAAGACUAAUACCCAAUGACGUCUCUAGAAGACAUCUGAAGGAGAUUAAAGAUUUAUCGGUGAUGGAUGGGGAUGCGUCUGAUUAGCUUGGUUGGCGGGGUAACGGCCCACAAGGCGACGAUCGAGUAGGGGUUCUGAGAGGAAGGUCCCCCANAUUGGAACUGAGACACGGUCCAAACUCCUACGGGAGGCA